rnacentral:rRNA from 1 species
GAUGAACGCUGGCGGCGUGCCUAAUACAUGCAAGUCGAGCGAACGGACGAGAAGCUUGCUUCUCUGAUGUUAGCGGCGGACGGGUGAGUAACACGUGGAUAACCUACCUAUAAGACUGGGAUAACUUCGGGAAACCGGAGCUAAUACCGGAUGAUAUUUUGAACCGCAUGGUUCAAAAGUGAAAGACGGUCUUGCUGUCACUUAUAGAUGGAUCCGCGCUGCAUUAGCUAGUUGGUAAGGUAACGGCUUACCAAGGCAACGAUGCAUAGCCGACCUGAGAGGAUGAUCAGCCACACUGGAACUGAGACACGGUCCAGACUCCUACGGGAGGCAGCAGUAGGGAAUCUUCCGCAAUGGGCGAAAGCCUGACGGAGCAACGCCGCGUGAGUGAUGAAGGUCUUCGGAUCGUAAAGCUCUGUUAUUAGGGAAGAACAGAUGUGUAAGUAACUGUGCACAUCUUGACGGUACCUAAUCAGAAAGCCACGGCUAACUACGUG